UUCCCUCUAUACCCAAUUUGUUGAAGCAUGUUCCCUCUGUAUCUACUUUCUUCCCUCUAUACUCACUUUGUUGAGAGUUUCUAUCUUAAAUAAAUUGUUCAAUUGUGUCAAAAGUUUUAUCUGCUUCUGUUGAGAUAAUCACAUAAAUCAGUUUUUCAAUUUAUUAAUUGAUUGGUUUACAUAUAUUGGACCAUCCUUUUGUCCUUGGGAUAAAUCCUAUUUGACCAUGGUAUACAAUCAUUUUAAUUAUUGUUAAAAUCAUUUUGCUAAUAUUUUGCUGAGGAUUUCUGCAUCUAUGAUAUUGGCAUGCAAUUUUCUUUCCCUGUGAUAUCCUUGUCUGCUUAUAUCAUCAAUGUGAUGCUGACCUCAAAGAAUAAGUUCAGAAGCAUUCCAUUCUCCGAAAUUUUUUGGAGUAAGCAUUUGGUAGAAUUCAGCUGUGGAGAUGUUUGAUUCUGGAAAUUUGUUUGUUGGAAUUUUUAAAAUUACUGAUUCAAGUUCAUUAGUGGUUAUUUUUCUGCACUUAUUUUGUAUUUCUUCCUGAUUCAGCCUUGGGAGAUUGUACAUUUCUAGGAAUCUGUCCAUUUUUCUAUGUUGGGAUAUAUAUUUAUAUAUCCAUGCAGCCUCAUGUGCAUUUUAAAGCUAGUGUUUACUUAUAAUUGAUGUUCUAUUUGGAUGAUCUAUACAUUGUUGUAAGUGGGAUGUUGUCUCUUGCUAUCAUUGCAUUACUAUAAAAUUUACCUUUAUGUCUAUUAAUAUUUGCUUUAUAUGUUAAGGUUCUCCUAUAUAGGGUACACUGAAGUUUAAUUUUUAUGAAAAUAUAUUGUUUGUUCUUAAAUUUAGAUUUCAUUUGACCCAUUAAAAAUAGUCUAAUAUAAAAAUUAACUAAGUUGAACAAUUUAACUAAUAAUAUGAUAAAAAGGAUGACAUGCACAAAGUCUGAGACAUUACAUUAAAUAUCAUUCUCCUUAUUACAUAACAAUAUAGAAGCUUUAAUAAAUAAUAAAAUUACAUAUUAAUAUUGUACAAUAUUUCAAUAUUAUUGCUAUUGAAGGAAAACUGUUGAGAGUAUGGGAUGAAGUCUUUAUAUUUCUGCAAGAUAUCAUUAGAUCUCCAAUUUAAUUAAUGGUUAGGCAUACUUGCUUAUUUAUUUAAUAUUUUCAAUAUUUCAAUAAUGGUUAUGAGAAAAUAAUGCACACUUUUAUGAAUAUCAGAUAAUUUUAAUGGGCAAAAAUAUGAGCUCUGAGGCAAUGUAAUUCUAUAGACAUUAUGUUAUGUUCAGGAAAUUGCCAGUAAUUAUAAGUGAAGUUUGUGAUGAUAUUUACAUUUAAUUUCUAUAAUCAGUUAUAACACAACACCUUACAUUUUAAUAAAAUAAUUUGUAUGUCGUUUUAAAAAAGAAGAUAAAAAUAGAUUUUUGUACCUUAUUUUUAAACUUAGCAAUAAUUUAAUAGCAUGCAUUGUUGAACUGAUUAUAGCUGAAGGAUUAAUGAUGAAUUUUCUCACAUUUUAAAAAUAUAGCAUUACCUGUUUUGGGAAAAAAAAACCUUUCAUAUAAGUUUCUUGAGAUUGAUAAAAUUGAUUGAACAAUUUGUUUCACUUGUCUUUAUAACUCUUUGAGACACUUGUUUUAGUAAUUCCUAUUGAAACAAAAGAGAUCAAUUGUUUAGUUAUACUGUAUUCCACACAAAUAUUGUUGUCAUGAAUACAGUAUUAUAAGUAAUACAGUGUUAAAAGUAAUUUGUACUAGUGUCAUCAUGAAUACAGAAUUAUGUUAAUAAAAGUGAAGAAAAUUUGUCAUAUGAAAAAUAUUUAAAUAUUUAUAUAAAAGGCAUUCACUGAAAAGUGGCAUAUAUGAUAUUAAUAUGGGAAAUCACUCCUUUAAAAUGUUUUGUUUACUUCAAUAGAAAAACAAUCAAUAUGAAUACAACAGAACUUUAGAAUUUUAACUAUCUGCAUGCAAUUCAGUAAUCAGUUACGAAUGUACGUUUGCUGUAACUUUUUCCAUAUUAUAAUUUUUCUAAUUAUAUUUAUUGAAACAAAAUUUUAUGUAUGUGAAAUUAACUUUUUUUAUUUAUAUGUUGUCUUUUUUUCGUAACCUAAAUCAUUCUGUUUUUAUUGAAUUUUAUACAUUUUUGUAUCAAGGAUGAUCCAGGGGUGGUGGCAAAAAGAGAGAACUGAACUUUCGUGGAGAACUUGUCAACAAUGUCUUAGUUUACAGGUAAAGACAGUCUAAAGCUAAUGCAGUGAGCUUAGAAAAAAGUGAAUAGGUUAAAAUAUCUUCCUAAAGUAAAAUUAACUGGUAUUUGAGAUCAAUAGGUUAUGAGGACAAAAGAGAAAAUCAAAUGUCAAUAAUGCCUCAUGAUUCUGGUUUGGACAGUAGCAAGCAGUGGUGUGCUGAUAAAUAGUUAACAAUCAUUUCUCCAGGAGCAGGGGGAAAAAAGAUGAUUCAGGACUUUUGCAAAAUUCUGUCAUAUAAAUAUACCAGCUGUAGUCCAUUUCAAGCUACCAAUACUUUUUACUAAAUUUGGAGUUGAGAAUAAAUGCACACUGCUGACCACGUGAGCCAAUACAAGCUGGCGCUGGAAUACCACUGAUUGGUUCUGUGUUUUUUACAGAAAUAUGCAAACAUAGAAGAUUAAUGUUUUUGGAGAAAACAACUAAUAAUUUUAUUUUGUAUUAUUAUAUAUGUAUAGUAUCAUUGCAUUAUUCGAGUCUAGCACUCACAAGUGAUUUCUAAUACAAAGAGAUAAAUCUAUAGAGAAAUUAUUUUUGGAAGUCACUGUAACAUUUAAUAUCAUCAAGAAAGAGUUUGUAAAAUGAUUAGAAAGAGCAGAAAGAUCAUAUAAGAGAAAGCAGAGAAAGAGCAUGUCGCACCUGACAGUAUAACAAGACUGAUGAAGAGUAAGCGAAUCAAGAGAAGGGUUAUUCACUAAAUCCAAGUGACCAUAGUAUUUCAAAAAGGGCCUGGAUGGUCAAUGAUUGAUAUGAUGAAAAAGGACUGCAGCAACAAAGUAUAAAUCAGUUGGCACAAGUAUCUCAGCCUAUGUGCUCUAAGUGAUAGAAAUCAGAUUAUAAUGCUUAUGACAAUAAAUGUAAUAUUAGAUACUGAAGAUGGAAGAAGAGAAUGGAUGCAUAGUAUUAUGCCUAAUGUCUGCUGGAGAUGGUAAAAAGGAUCAGUCAAUUGAUAGAGCAGAACAGAAACUUGGAGAGUUCCUCUUAAGUAGUUAUUCCUAUUUAAUAAGGGAAAAUACUGAGGGGGAAAUAUUAAGAUGGCAUGGAUAAAAUAUGGAGAAAAGCUCAUGAGGGGUUAUAAUCUUGAACUCACGUGGAAGAAUGUGUUUUAUAUAAGAGUGUAAUGCCUGAAAUUUAAGAGAAGGAAGAUGAGGACAGAUGCAAAUAGACAUAAUCAUGAUGAUGAGCUUGAAACCAGUGUCUAGCUUUGAGGUAAAUAAAUUGAAGUUUCCACAUGCUUCAUUCUGUGAACAUUUACAGACCAACUGGCAAGUAGUCCUAUGUCAUAGUUGUAUAUGUCCAUAUUUAUUUAUUUAUUUUUGGCCACAUCUGGAGCACGUGGAUGUUCUUGAGUCAGGGACUGAAACUGUUCCACAAGAGCCAUCUGAGCCACUGCAGUGACAACACAAAAUCCUUAACCCACUGCACCACAGGAAAUCUCCAUAUGCCCGUAAUGUUGAUUUACAAGUUGGAUUUAAGCUUUCAAGUCAAAGGCUUGAAAAAGGACUGACUGUAGCAAAAAGGUAUAUUUAUUCUGUCUAAUACCUUGNAGUAAAGGGCAUGGAAAAAACAGGAGAUUUUUACUAAGAUGAUAACUAAAGGUGACAGACAUGGAUGGAACAUCGUAGAAAUUGAGCUAAAGGUCACCAGGACGGCUAAUGACAAUCAUCUAACACACAGAUUCAGCAACUACUCAAUGUCCUGAAGGAGGCAAAGUGGUUGUAAUGAGCAGGAGGGAUCCACACAGGUAUCAUGCGCAUAUAUGUUACAUAUACUUUCCCCCUAUUAUACUUAUUUCAAUGUAUGAUAUGUAUUGGAAACAGAUUCAGUGGUAAAAGACUUUUGUACCAGAUCCAGAGGAUAGGACUGACUCUUAAGUAGGAAAAGUAAAUGGAGAAAAUAGAGGCAAUAAUGGCAACUGUCGAGAAAAUGACAAGAAUGCAAUGAUUUCAUUGAUAUAUGGAGGAAACAUGUAUGGUUCAGGUAGAGUAGAAUGUUAGCCAGCAUUUGUGAUCUCAGGACCUAUUGGAUUUUGAGAUGUGAAAUUAAAAAUAUUUAUGUUAGGAGUCAAGGCUUUACUGACAUAGAAUAAAAAACAUCAGCCUGCAGUUGUGCAAAGCGUAUAAUUCUGAACAUUUUCAAAAUUCUACAAAACAGUGGAGCUUUAGGAAAAUAGAAAAUGAAGAGAGCAAUCAGCACACAUUAUGUUUGUACAUGCCCACUUAGAAAAAGAAAAAUAUGUUCAAGAGUUCUUCAUGUGGUUCUCACAAAGAGAAUCACUGCAAGUGUGAUAUUUAUAUAAAUCUAUUUAUUCAUUUCAAAAUAUUUACGCCUAAAAUAUAUCUUUUUCCUAUUACAUAAAAAGCACUGUACCUAGUGCUAGUUUCUCGUUGCAGAGAGUUUCAGAAGUGCCAGGAAAGGAAAAUAUGACACCUGGCAUCACUUCUUCACAAUUAUCAUAUGAGGGAAUUAAUGAAAAUCCGCACAGAUGGAGAAGAUCCUAAUGGGAGACUGAUCCAACAUAGAAUGGAGUAGAAUGUUAUCAAUACAGGAGUGAUUUAAUAAACUUGAUUGAUUGUCUACCUAAACUAUAAACUACAUUCUCUUUCAAACUCCAGUUAACCCUAUAUUUUGUGUCCCAGAAAUAUUUUGCUUACAUUGUAGGUUUCCUUUAAGUAUAAUAUUAGCAAAUAGAUCUUAGAACACAUAUUUAGAAUCCAAAUAAUUUUGGCUACUAACUGAAAUAAAAUUAAUGUAUUUUAUCUGCCCCAUUUGAGAAGAUUAUUUUCUUGUUAUUUGUAGC
ensembl:lncRNA